rnacentral:tRNA from 1 species
GCUGGGGCUCAGCGGUAGAGUGCUUGCCUAGCAUGCACGGGGCACUGGGAUCGAUCCUCAGCACCGCA